CGUCGCCACGCACGUCACGCUCACAAAACACUCAUUCAUGCGCUCACGGAACGCUCACACACUCAUGACAUACACACAUCAUUUCGCCUCACACACCGCGCCGUCGCCAUCCGCACCGCCCGGGUGGGACGUGUUCAAACUUUUC
ensembl:ncRNA M04B2.10 ncRNA